rnacentral:lncRNA from 1 species
CUAGCAACUACAUUAUUUAUAAAUUCCGUGGCAACAACUCAAAUACUUAGCAUCUAUGGCACCUACUCCAGCAGACCUCAGGAAGAUCGGUGCUGAAGGAUUUGCUCUGAUAGACAUGUUCUAUGGUCCACCGAGAAGGAACAGUGCCAAUUAUGCAUAUAUUCCAUGGGCGAAGAGGAGAACGUUGUUGGGUGAUGGAAGAUUCCUUUGCGAUCGGCAUGGAGACAACAUUUAAAGUAUCUUACAUGAUUAUAAUUCUCGCCACUUUUACCACAGACGAGUGAAUAGAUGGUAGUAUGAAACUAUGAAUAUAAAAUUAAAAAAUAAUACGGCAUAUUCAAGUUUGAGAUAUCAGGUCACUCGUAAUGGUUGAUGUAAUCAUGUUAAGAAGUAGACACGAAUAACAACUUCGAAUUUCUUAAUUAGAUUUAGUUAAAGCAAAAUUCAUGUGUUUGUUG